rnacentral:rRNA from 1 species
CCUACGGGUGGCUGCAGUGGGGAAUAUUGGACAAUGGGGGCAACCCUGAUCCAGCCAUGCCGCGUGUGUGAAGAAGGCCCUCGGGUUGUAAAGCACUUUCAGUGAGGAAGAACGCCUGGUGGUUAAUACCCAUCAGGAAAGACAUCACUCACAGAAGAAGCACCGGCUAACUCCGUGCCAGCAGCCGCGGUAAUACGGAGGGUGCGAGCGUUAAUCGGAAUUACUGGGCGUAAAGCGCGCGUAGGUGGCUCGAUAAGCCGGUUGUGAAAGCCCCGGGCUCAACCUGGGAACGGCAUCCGGAACUGUCAAGCUAGAGUGCAGGAGAGGAAGGUAGAAUUCCCGGUGUAGCGGUGAAAUGCGUAGAGAUCGGGAGGAGUACCAGUGGCGAAGGCGGCCUUCUGGACUGACACUGACACUGAGGUGCGAAAGCGUGGGUAGCAAACAGGAUUAGAUACCCCUGUAGUC